rnacentral:lncRNA from 1 species
UCUCAAAUACCACGCUCUGGAGGAGGGAUAAGAAUGUCCUAUGGUUCCUGGGCCAGUUCAGGUGGCUUAGAGAAGGGCAAAACAGUACCUUUAUAGACACUACAAAAAUCACUUGAAGAAGGAACAAACAUCUCUGAGUGGAGGGAACUACACCAGUGUGGUAAGUAUCCUCUUCUGUAAAUGUUGGGAGAUGGGUCCCUUUCACUUUUACUCUUUGUGCUCUUCUCUAUUAAAUGCUAUUCCAUUACGUGCUAUCAUAUCAUGGUUCUCAUGUUUGAAAAUCCCUCUUCUUGUACGUUGUAACUUAUUUCAGAUCAUCACAGAAACUGGAAGACUGAGGACAAAAUCACAGAAUACCAGGGAGCAGGGCAGACCACACUAUGGUUUGAGCAGCCUUAUGGAAACGUCUGGCUCCAGGCUCGCUUUGGUUUUCUUCAGAGUUUCUUCAGUGGGUGCAGGAAAUUCUACUUACUGGGUUUGUCAGUAAUCUAGAAGUAUCUUGGUAUUUUUCAGAUUACCAAGUAUCUGUUGUAAUGUGACUUUGUGACACAACAGAUAAAGAGAUCAAGAUAGAUCACUGCUGGAGACUGUGUUUCCUAAGAAUGGAUGAUAAGCAUUAGCAGAUAAAAAAAAUGUAAUCAAUCAAGUAAUGGAACAAGGCAGGAAUGAGAGGAAUGUUUUUCAAUUUAAAAUCUAGUGUAAGUUUUGCCCUUAACAAAAUCAGAGAAAAUGUAAAGAAUCAGAGGGAAUUUUUUUAAAUCCACAAUGAAGGAAGAAAAGUGCUCCUUAAAUAGAUGAGUAAAUGGUUUCAGGCAUAAAUGUAUUUAUAUAUAGAUGUGUAGAGAUUUUCGUCUCCCGUUAGGAUUAAGUAAUUUUUUUAGAGUAAAUUUAUUCAGGAGUUGAUUAGUUUGUCAGUAAUAACAACCUACUUUUUGUAGCUCUUUAAAAAAUGACCUUAAAAAUGCACAAGAAUGGUAUUUGUUUUAGAAAAACAUGAAUAAUAUAUAUUUUUUAAACUUUUC